rnacentral:rRNA from 1 species
CAGUAGCCGCGGGAAUACGAAGGGUGCAAGCGUUAUCCGGAUUCACUGGGUUUAAAGGGUGCGUAGGCGGGCAGGUAAGUCAGUGGUGAAAUCUUCGAGCUUAACUCGGAAACUGCCGUUGAUACUAUCUGUCCUGGAUAACGUUGAGGUGAGCGGAAUAUGUCAUGUAGCGGUGAAAUGCGUAGAGAUCGGGAGGAACAUCAGUGGCGAAGGCGGCCAUCUGGGACAACACUGACGCUGAGGCACGAAAGCGUGGGGAGCAAACAGGAUUAGAUACCCCAGUAGUCCCUGUCUCUUAUAC